rnacentral:lncRNA from 1 species
AGGAAGGAGAUACUGAAAUCAUUCUGCCUCUUUGAGAGAUGCCUAGUUUUACAGCACAAAAGAAAAAGGCUUGAAUGAAAACUAAAAGGGGCCUUUUUGUUUUUCACUCCCAGGGAGGUGGAGAGCUUCAGAGUCUCCACUGGGAUAGCUGUAGCACUGACUGGAGUUUGCUGCCUACAGAGUUUUGAAUGUACUUACUAGACUUUAGUUUCCAUAGAACUGAAUGCACCUCUUCAGUAAGUGAAAUGCUUUAUGGUGCUAAAGAAAAUGAUUAUCCCCAUUUUUCUUCUUCGCCAAGCCCCUUAAGCAUUUAAGAAAAUUUAAAGUAAAAGCAUUUAGAGACCCUUUUUAUGAAUGUAACCUGUUUCUGUUUGACACAUGACACUGCAACUUUAAAGUUAGGAAAUUAUUUGCCUUUUUCUUUUAGAAUUAAGCUUUAUAAAUAAUCUGUAGAGUCAAUUGAAGUAUAAAGCUUAAGGAUCACUCUUAAGACGCCUACAAAAUCUUGUAUAUUUUUAAGUGUGCCAAUUUGUAACAUAUUUUGUAAGUGUAUAUUUUUCUUAGAAAAGUGCUGUGAAGUGUCUGUAUGUGAGAGUUUUCCUUUUUUCUGCACCACUAUGUGCUAAUAAAAGGAUAUUUACUUCAAAGUUUCUGGUUUUAGAAACCACAAUACAAAGAAAAAACACUUUUGUUGGGAAUUUUGUAACAAAAAAUAUGUUGUGAAAGAGUGUAGUGAUCUUGUGCAAAGAAAAUGAACAUUUGUGAGCUUCUUGCUGUUUUAUAGAAUUUCUUGUAAAUUAUUCUUGUAACACCUCUGGUUUUGUUGUUCUUGUUGAAAAAAGUUUUAAAUAUUUGUGACUGAAUGUAUGGUGAAACUGUCAUAAUGUUACCUAGCUGAGUUUUGUUAUUGUUUAUGGAAUAAAUAAAAGAAAAGUUUAAAAU